GGAGUAUUAGUCAUAAAUGUUAAAUAUUUUACAUUUUACUGUCAAGUGAAAAUUAAUUGUGUUUUGAUUGUGUGCUUCCCUAUUCCCUUUUGUCCCCUAUAUCAGGUGAUGCUUUUCCUUGGACGAUCAGCUUACAUCAUUUCAGCAUAUAUACCCUUCUUGGAAAACAAGUGACACUUUGCCUAGUGGAACCUAUGGGUUGCACCUCCACUCUAGCUGUCACGUCUCAAAAACUACUUGCUACGGGACCUGAUACACGACAUUCAUUUGUUGUCUGUCUCCAUGUUGACCUAGAGUCACUAGAGAUAAAAUGCUCUAAUCCCCAGGUCCAGCUUUUCUAUGAACUAACUGAUACCAUGAAUAAGGUCUGGAAUAAGAUUCAGAAGAGAGGCAAUCUCAACCUAUCUACAACCUCUCCAGAGACCAUGGCAGGGCCUGUUCCUACUUCUCCAGUUAGAAGCAGUAUAGGCACAGCUCCUCCAGAUACCAGCACAUGCAGCCCAUCUGCUGACAUUGGGACUACUACUGAGGGAGAUUCUAUACAAGCAGGUGAGGACUCACCAUUCUCAGAUUCUGUCACCUUGGAACAAACUACAAGUAAUAUUGGCGGAACCAGUGGACGUGUUAGUUUAUGGAUGCAGUGGGUGCUUCCCAAAGUUACUGUAAAGCUCUUUGCUCCAGAUCCUGAAAAUAAAGGCACAGAGGUUUGUAUGGUCUGUGAACUAGAAGAUCUCAGUGCUUCUAUAGAUGUCCAGGAUGUAUAUACCAAAGUGAAAUGUAAAAUAGAGAGUUUCAAUAUUGAUCACUAUAGAAGCAGCCUUGGGGAAGAGUGUUGGUCUUUGGGGCAAUGUGGAGGUGUCUUCCUUUCCUGUACUGACAAGCUGAACAGACGCACCUUGUUGGUUCGACCCAUCAGCAAGCAGGACCCUUUCAGUAAUUGCUCUGGCUUCUUUCCUUCUACAACUACAAAACUUCUAGAUGGCACUCAUCAGCAGCAUGGAUUCCUCUCUCUGACAUACACAAAAGCUGUAACAAAAAAUGUCCGCCACAAGUUAACAUCAAGAAAUGAGCGAAGAAGUUUUCAUAAAUUAUCUGAAGGCUUAAUGGAUGGUUCUCCUCAUUUUCUUCAUGAAAUUCUUCUUUCAGCACAAGCUUUUGAUAUUGUUCUUUAUUUUCCUUUACUUAAUGCCAUUGCAAGUAUAUUUCAAGCAAAACUACCAAAGACCCAAAAAGAGAAAACAAAAUCUCCUGGUCAGCCCAUGAGGACCCAUACGCUGACAUCCCGCAAUUUACCUUUGAUUUAUAUCAACACAAGUGUAAUCAGAAUUUUUAUUCCAAAAACAGAAGAAAUGCAAGUUUUCUGGGGUUUUUUGUUUCUUUUAAAAAAUAAGAGCAGUUGGUUGUGCUUUGCGGUUUGGUAUAUUUUAUAGAGAAG
rnacentral:lncRNA from 1 species